CCCCAACUAACUCCACCUUUCUGCUAAAAUGAAAAACUGAAAUAAACAUAAUCGGUCCUCAAAAAAUGAGGACUCACCACUGUUGCUGCUAUUAGUGUGCUAGGAUAACUUGGUACGGUCGGAAACCUGAGCCUCCGAACCUAUGAUAUGAAACAUCAUAGUGAAAUAAAAGAGAUACGAUCAAUACUUUGAAUGUACUAGUAUGCUAAAUAAGGUAGGCUAAUAUGCAUGGUUUCAUGAAUAUGAAUAAUAAUUGUCUGAAUAUAUAUAUGUUAGUAUAUGUAACGUGUAAUACUAAAUAAAGUACAUAAAAUUUUUAAGUACUAAGGAUGUAUGACCAAGGAUAUAUAACAUUUUCUGAAUAAAAUUUGUAAAUACUAAAAUAAUGAAAUCUGAUAACUGAAUGUCGGAUAUCUGUAUGCUAUGGUCAAGCAAACUAAAACUGAAUUAUUGAACUAAUUACUGGACUGAGGCUGUAACUAAAACUGUGGGAGGUAUCAUCUAACCGAUAUGCCCCGCUCUAAACUGAUUGGGGUCAAACCUGUAACCCCAGUUGAAAGAGUGCUAGUACCGUGCCACAGGUACUAACAAUGGAUGUGGAGUCAGUCCUAACUAACGGAUGACCCCUGAGAUCAAUCCUAACUAGAGAGUGAUCCUUGAGAGUGCUAGACCUAACUAACUGGUGACAUCUCAUAACCUACGCUGGCUACGUAGUUCUGGAACUUAGAACUUGCUUCUAAGGAUCCAGUCCUAACUAACGGGUGAUCUCUCAUCCCUAGGCUUUCUCAGUGCUGAAUCCUACACCCAAUUGAACUGACAAUGAUUACGGGACUGGGCUAAGAUUAACUGGACAAGUAACUAAUCACGAUGGCUAACUGGAUGAAUAUGCUCAUACGCAUCUGAAACUAUUCUGAAACUACUAAGACUAAGUAAGCAGCUAAAUUUUGGGUAUUCAUAACCCCCAGGACUCAAUAACAAUAACAACAUGGUCAGGAAAUCUUUGAAACCAUGGAAGGAAAUGAUUGUUCACAAUUAUUCACUCAAGUAUUUCAUCAAAUACAUGAGGACCAAGACUUUAACAAGAGGAUAUCUCUAGACAUGAUGAGGUAGCAAGAUCACAUGAAAAAAAUCAUAAGCUAAGGAUUUAUUCCAAAUUUCUCAUGAACAUGAUAUAGAAAUCAUAAUAUUUAAAACAUACUAUAAUGUAUUCCACUUGAAAACAAAUUUAAAAAUUUUAACUUGUAAGCAUAUAAUAAGUCGUAAUUGUUCAAAACCCACUCAUUUAGGUAUUUCAUCAAACACUUGCAGUUCAUGAUUUAAACUAAGCAUGGUAAUAGUUUUUAAAAACUUGUAGUAAUAGCAUGAUUUCACUUCUAAGAUCACCAAUUAGGGUUUAAAUUCAACAAACAACACCAUUUAAAUAUGUAAGGUUUAAUAUCACCUACAAUUUUAUGAAAACAUGAUAAAGAUUCAAAAUUAAUGUAAGUUCAUGGACAUAAUUCAUGAAAUUUAUAAUAAGGGUUCCUUUCAAUGAAAAUAGAUUGUAAGAUCAUGUAUAAGCAAAAUCAUAAAAUCUUAGAGACAAAUCAUUAUAAACGUGAAAUUUCGUGAAUUUAAACAUGAGAUUCUUGGACUCCAUGAGUUAAAAGGACCCAUGGAUGAACAUCUAACAUACCUCAAAAGCUUGAAUCUUGAAAUAGGGUAACUUUUCUUGAAGGUUGUUGGAUGGUGACGCUUUGAUUCUUGAGUUUUCUUGAAGAAGAGCUUGAAUCUUGUUCUUGGGAGAGGAACCCUAAUUUUGAUGCUAUAGAUAAAUAUGAAGUUAUGUGCUUUGAUUUGAUGUAAUUACAUGUUUAAAAGGAUGGGAAAAGACCAAAAAAUCCCUUUAAAAAUGGCUUUAAAUCGCUA
rnacentral:lncRNA from 1 species